rnacentral:rRNA from 1 species
GACGUAGGGCGCAAGCGUUGUCCGGAUUUAUUGGGCGUAAAGAGCUCGUAGGCGGUCUGUCGCGUCUGCUGUGAAAACUCAGGGCUUAACCCUGAGCUUGCAGUGGGUACGGGCAGACUAGAGUGCGGUAAGGGGAGACUGGAAUUCCUGGUGUAGCGGUGAAAUGCGCAGAUAUCAGGAGGAACACCGGUGGCGAAGGCGGGUCUCUGG